GAUGAACGCUGACAGAAUGCUUAACACAUGCAAGUCAACUGUGGCGGACGGGUGAGUAACGCGUAAAGGACUUGCCUCACGGUUAGGGACAACAUUUGGAAACGAAUGCUAAUACCUGAUACUGUGAGAGAGCUUUGCGUCCCAUUAGCUAGUUGGAGAGGUAACGGCUCACCAAGGCGAUGAUGGGUAGCCGGCCGGAGAGGGUGAUCGGCCACAAGGGGACUGGGAGACGGCCCUUACGCCUACGGGAGGAAGCAGUAGGGAAUAUUGGACAAUGGACCAAAGUCGGAUCCAGCAAUUCUGUGUGCACGAUGAAGUUUUCGGAAUGUAAAGUGUUUUCAGUUGGGAAGCGGUACCAGCAGAAGAAGUGACGGCUAAAUACGUGCCAGCAGCCGCGGUAAUAC
rnacentral:rRNA from 1 species